AGCUCCAAUAGCGUAUAUUAAAGUUGCUGCAGUUAAAAAGCUCGUAGUUGCAUUUCCGAGGCAAGGGAUUAGUCCGACCUUUGGUGGGUAUUUAAUCCUCUUGCCUCGUCCUUGAGUGGUGCUUCUUGGUAUUAAGUUAUCGAGGAGAUAGCCGCUCAUCGUUUACUGUGAGAAAAUUAGAGUGUUCAAAGCAGGCUUAUGCCGUUGAAUAUAUUAGCAUGGAAUAAUAAGAUAGGACCUCGGUACUAUUUUGUUGGUUUGAGAACCAAGGUAAUGAUGAAUAGGGACAGUUGGGAGUAUUCGUAUUCAGUUGUCAGAGGUGAAAUUCUUAGAUUUACGGAAGACGAACUACUGCGAAAGCAUUUACCAAGGAUGUUUGCA
rnacentral:rRNA from 1 species